ensembl:lncRNA
CUGGGGGGAGUUGCGCCGCGACGCGCACCGUCGCUUUGCAGGAGCGCUGCGGUGCGGUGACUCCCAGCGCCGGUGCUCAGAGCCGGGCGGGAUACGGAGCGCUGCGGGAAGGAUGCGGUCCGCAACAACGCACCCCGGUAACGCGGGCUGCUAGGAAAAUAAGUUAUCCAGACUCAAAACACACUCGUCAAACACACCGAAAAGUUUGAAUUAUUUAUUUCCUCUGGGGACUCCUGUAACCAUUUAUUUUUAAUAGAGCCUAAUUAAGAGUUCCCCAGCGGGUUUUACUUUCGUAAAUAUUUCAGAUGAUUUCGAGCUUCCGGGCAAAUCCUCCAGAGGAAAAGGAAAAUGUAAUGAAAGAAGCGAGGCGCGGAGUUUCAGCCCUUCCCUCCCGUCGGCCGAAGCGACAACAAGUGGCCGCCGGGCGCGAGCAGCGCGGCCCCUUCGGAAACGGCCCGGGGGCUCCGAGGAGGAACGAAGUUAAACCGCAACGCGACGGCUCCGGGCCCGGCCGAGGAGCGGCUGUGCGGGACGGGACGCAGCGAGCGGCGGAGCCGCCCCGCACAACCGGCGCGUAAAGAGUACGGAGAGCUCUUCGUUUUAAAGAUAGAAGAAAACGAGGCACAGGGAAAGGAGAUUUUUCGAUCACUUUUUUUUUUUUUUUUUUUUGGAAGAAAUCCGGUAAACAAAACAAACAAACAAAAAAUUAAAACUUUUCUUGGUCUGAUAUGUCAAAACAUCGUUCACAGUAAAAUUCACAAACCGAUUUACAUAAGUUUACAGCUUAAGAAAAACCCAGACACACAACUUGCUAUAAAUAAAAGAAAGGGUUUGCGACCCGCACAGCUCUCUCCCACCGCCCCCUUUCCGUAGGAACAAAACCCUAAAGUUAAAAACUCUACGAAUUGCGGACACGAACCGAGCGGCGCUCGGCAAGGUGGGAAGAACAACACUUUCAGUAACCACAACGAAAAUGUAAACAACGGAACGACUGAGUUUGAAAACAACGCCCGCCGGGUCGGUUUUUCGUUUUGUCAUUGCAACGCUAAAAUGGAACGGGGCGAUGCACCAUCUUUAAGACUCGGAAGCGAACAAAACUACGCCCAACCCCGCGGAGACCGGGAGAGUCGCCGUGGCUUAAGAACUUCGCGGGGCUUUAGGAGGCGGUUGCGCUCUGUUAAAAGAACAGAUUGCCCAAAUCGUUUUUUUUUUUGUACAAAAGAAAAAAGAAAAUGAAGACAACGAACGGAUUUUCUGUUUAAAAUUUCUCCCAAGUUAGUAUCGAGUCUGCUGAGCCGCACGUCCCGGCGCUGGGGUUGCGAUGAGGAGCCGUCCGGAGGAGGCCAGUUCGUUUAUAUGUGAGUUAGUGGUACGGUGCCGUUCACGGCAGUCCCGGCACUCUGGUAGUGCUGGUGCACACUGUGCAACCUGCUGCCCUGCAGGGCCGAAGGGUCUGUGGCGUCGCCCCCCGGGGGCAGGUACAUGCUGAUCAUAUCCCGCAGGUCUCCCAGGCAGGCCCUCUGCGAGUGCGAGGUGAUGGCCGGCGGAGGCGAGCUGGGCUCGGACUUCACCACCGAGCCCAUGGAGCCCAGGCUCAUGGCCGUGGAGGGCUGCUGGCCGUAGGCGGCGGGGGACAUGCUGUAGGUGGAGGCGGCGUUCAUGUAGGUCUGCGCCGUGGACAUCAUGGGGCUGUACUGCAGGCCCGGCAUGUCGUAGCGGUGCAUCUGCUGCAGCUGCGGGCUGUUCAUGCCCGGGUGCUGCCCGUAACCCAGCUGGUCUUGCAUCAGGGAGUAAGCCCCGUUGGUCCAACCGUUCAUAUGGGCGUAAGUGUCAAUCCUCUGGCCCACCCCGACGGGGCUGCUCACCGCGUUGCCCCCUCCGGGGGCCAGCAGGUUGCCCGGCAGCGAGUAUUUGUCCUUCUUCAGCAAGGUCUUGGUCUUCCUCCGGGGCCGGUAUUUGUAAUCCGGGUACUCCUUCAUGUGCACGGCCCGCAGCCUCUUGGCCUCGUCGAUGAAGGGCCGCUUCUCGGCAUCGCUCAGCAGCUUCCAAUCGGCCCCGAGGCGCUUGCUGAUCUCCGAGUUGUGCAUCUUGGGAUUCUCCUGGGCCAUCUUCCGCCGCUGGCCCCGGGACCACACCAUGAAGGCGUUCAUGGGGCGCUUCACCCGGUCCUGGUCCGACCCGGCACCCGCUCCGCUGCCGGCCCCGCCGCCGCCUUUGCCGUUGCCGCCCGGGGCCGGGUUCCCCCCGGCGCUGCCCGGCGUGGGCUGCGGCGUCUUGAUCUCGGUCUCCAGCAUGCUGUACAUGGCCGGGGCCGGUAAGAGAUGCGCCAGGGUGGCAGACGGGCGGGCACAGCUCGGGGAAAGGAAGUUCAAAAAUAAUAAGAGUAAAAGAAAGAACCGGUCCGGGCGGCGGCCGCAGGAGGGGGAAGGAGUUUUCCCGUGCCGCUCCCCGAGGUGCAGCGGAGGUUCCCGCGGGCAGCGCUGAGCGACGCGCACACCUCUCCCAGGGGCAUUUGAUUGACGGGCUAUAAAUGAGAGGGCGGCGGCCAAUCAGCGAGCGGUUCCCGACAGCCCCAACGCCGGUAAUGGGUCGGUUUGGAGAGGACGGGGAUGGGCGAAAAGUUGGUGUUUGGGGACUGCUGGGACCGAACCCCUCCCGCCGCAACCCCCGAGGUGCCGGACCGGCAGCGGGCACUCCGCGGGGUGCGGAGCGGGCAGCGGGGAUCGUGCAGCUGCCGGCGGGGCUGGGAGCCGGGAUGCGGAGCCGGGGUUGCGGAGCGGACGGGAGGACCGCCGCGAGCGGAUCCACGAGUUUGGCGGGCACAAAGAAAUCCGAGGUUUCCGGCUGGAUCCGCCGCCUCGAGACUGUACGAACAGCUGUUCCUGUAGCUCACGCAGCGGAUGAAGGCGACGAGAACUAAAACUUUCGCCUCUGGAGCGGUGUCUGCGUAGGGAAGCCGCUCUGCCCUGUCGGCACCGGGGGCGGCUGCCGGGCGCUCCGUUCAGGUGCCAGGCGGGUGCCCCGCCGCAGCACCGUGCCCCCCUUCGUGUCGCUGAGCCGGGUUGGAUGCCAGCAGGACGCUCCCGGCCCCCCACCCCUCGCCGAACCUCGGCCACUUGUGUUUUUUCCAUUCGGCUGCUCCAGGGGGAGGGUGAAGGGGGAUGGUGCUUUGUAAAAACGGUUUUCAUGGCAACGGCGAAGUUCCCUCCGUGUGAAAGAAAACUUGGGAAAGCUGGGGUGACCGGAGAGGAGCUCCCUGCAGCUGUCAAUCACGGGCUUCCCUUUCCGUCCCUCCCCUCCCCUUCCCUUUCCUUCCCUUCCUCCCUCGGAGGCGCGAACGCCCGCACCUACGCGGCCGGGGCCGGGAGCUCCCGAAAGGCACACAGCCUGUCUGCGCUCUUUCUCCUUCCUCAUCCUCCCGCCGUGUCCCGCUCCAGCUCCGCACGGGCAGAGGCACGGGACAGCCCGUUGCCGGCGGAGAUCCAUCACCGCCGGUGCUUUGCGAUCAAACUGCCCCGGGGGCGCGGGACUGGGCAGAGGGCUCGGAGCAGACGUGCCUGGGCACCCCGUCCCCUCCAGGGGGGGCGGCGAGGAGGGAAGCUGCAGCUUGGCAGCCCUCGCGGACACAUCAUUUAGCAUCCCACGGUCCAAGUUAUUAAAAGGCAAUAUUUCUCUUGAAACAUCACACAUCUCCUCACUGAUGAAUAAGAAGCAAGAAGGGGUAAGCAGGGCACCCAGCUCGGAACCUCUCGAUAAUGGUUCUGCCGCGAUCUGAACUCUCGAGAGGAGAGGCAGAAGGUGCUGUCCCGCGAAGCCGCGUUCCUCCCCAGCCGCGUGCCAGGGGAGCACCUGCGGCCGGAUUCCCAGGGAGUGGGGCUGAGGAGCGGUGCGGGUCCGGGCAGAACGAAGUGAGGCUCAGCCGUGGCUCUGCCACCAGCAUCACUCUGCUAACGCAAGGGACCCUCUCCUCGGUUGGAAGCUACAGAUCGCUGCUGAGGCAGAGUAGAGAAGGAAGGGAAAGAGAGGCAAGUCCCGCUAUACAAGCUGUUAUUUCCAAAAACGUCUUGCCGAGCGCUUUAAAAAGUCCGAUCCCAGCCCCAGCCUGGUUCCCGGUCCUUCCCGUGAGCAGAGUUGCUGCCAAGCAGGGAAGGGGCAGAAGCAGGAAAGGUGGCAGAGAGCGCCCGGUAUGGGGCUGGGGAGCACCACGCCUGGAUGGAGCCAUUUUCCUAAAUUCCCUCCUCGGCUGUGGUUGGGAUGAGGAGAAGCCGUCCGGGGCUGAGAGCCCCCUGUGCCCGGUGGGAGUUGGAGGCACUCAUAGGGGCGUGAGGCAAAAGCAGGAAUUUACAGCACACUUCAAGCUGAACGUGAGAGAAAGCCCAUGGCUGACAAGGGACAAUCGGCUUCAUAUGCAAUCAGCACUUAAUAAGCAAUAGCCAUUAAUAUCUAUUAAUUGCAGCUCCAUAGAACUUGGGGAGGGGGGUUCUUGGAAGGGGAGAUUGCUGGCUUUUAGAGCAACGCCAAAAAAGCCCCAUUUAAUCCCAUUAUUAAAACAUCCCCCCCGACCCCGAACAUCAGUGGGGCUCAGCCUUCACAGCGAGCCCAGACCUGGAGCUGAGCCCCGUUCGUUUGGUUCCUUCUGACCCUCGCUUGGAUGAUUCCCCAAGAAUAGCCAUGUGAUGCUUAAAAGAAAGGUUCGCGUAUUUCUGCACUUGGACUCUGUUUUAAGAUUUCCCCAAAGUUUCCACAUAGUAACGCAGCUCUCAAGUGGGUCACAUCGGGCUGAUGCUGCAGCUCCAGCUCGCUGGGUUGAGACAGGUUUGUUUUUGUUCCCCUACCAGUGCUGUCACGCCAAACCAACCUCUCCAGCUGCCUUGGACCGAGUUCCCAUUGCAGCUGGGGGUACAAACCACCACAGCCCUGAACGGGUCCCCUAUCCCCGCUGCGGCUUCACCCAUACCCACUGCAGAGCACAACAGCGAUUGCAGCAUCCCUGCUGCUCAUCUGCUCCAAAGCACGAGGGAUACCUUUGAUGAUAUCAUUAAAACCAGCAACAUUUAAAAACAAAAAUCUCACGACCGUGGGUAAAACCCGGGCAGUCGUUUGGGUGCAGCUCGGUUCCUUUGAACCGAGCCUCCCAGUGCACUCAGGGGGCAGCAGCGAAUGUUGUUUUUAAUCACUUUUUCCCCCCAGCUGAACUUUUAUUUGGCUUCUACCAACAAUAGCGGGCUGCAAACAGACCUCUCGGAGCGCCGCUGAAUAGACUCUUUUCUGGCCCGGAUUGUUUCCACCGCCACAAAAACAACCAGGAGCUCCGUGUCUUAAUUGGGCUGUUCCCGGCCCUCGCUCAUUCAUUCAGGUGUUCGCCAGGAAUUUGUUUAUUAGCCUCUGACAAACAGCUCCUCCUGGUAAUCGCCUCAUGGGGUUGGCUUCUGCGGG